UGGGUUGAUGACCGUUUUUGGGGCAAGGUC
rnacentral:piRNA from 1 species